AACCAGAGUUGAGGAGCGGUGCUCAUAAGUAGUCAUGAGAAAGGGGAGCAGGACCCGUAUAAUGAUCUUGUGGCAAAAGGGUGUACCGCCGAAGCCUGCUGAUGGCCUGUUACACAAGCAGGCUGGGAUUGUGGAUAAAAUCCGCAAUACUGUCACGAGUUUUUUCGUGGAGCGCUCUCUAGGU
rnacentral:ncRNA from 2 species